GACGUAGGGCGCGAGCGUUGUCCGGAUUUAUUGGGCGUAAAGAGCUCGUAGGCGGCUUGUCGCUUCGACUGUGAAAACCCGCGGCUCAACCGUGUGGCUUGCAGUUGAUACGGGCAGGCUAGAGUUCGGUAGGGGAGACUGGAAUUCCUGGUGUAGCGGUGAAAUGCGCAGAUAUCAGGAGGAACACCGGGGGCGAAGGCGGGUCUGGGCCGAUACUGACGCUGAGGAGCGAAAGCGUGGGGAGCGAACAGG
rnacentral:rRNA from 1 species